CGGCGAGGAGGGGAGGCGGGUCAGCACAGAGAGACCGAGCUCUCCGAUACCUUCCCCACUAAACAGAUUGAAAACUCCUGACCUACCGGCCUCGCUGUCCAUGGAGGGAGCCGGACACCCCACAGCUCCCCAGUCUCUUGGCAAGUUGGGCUGCUGGCCCCCAGCCCAGGCAGAGGAAGAGCACGCGAACCGAUCAGAGGCCGUCUUGUCUCCGCGGACCCCCAGGAGGAGGACCGCUCUGCUGCAGCGCUGGGAGUCAGGACUGGUCAACGGGAAUGGGGAGGAGGACUAAGGAACAGAGAGGAUAGCUGAAAUGAAGGUGGGAGGAAAAGUUAACUUCAGACUGAGAGACUGUGAACGCAAUGAGGAGGACAACGUCCAGGCUGGGUAAUGUAGCAGGGGAGGACUCUGAUGGGAGGACAAAGAGAAGAACACAGAGUAAGGGAGAGAAAAGGCAUUGAGGGAAUAACACAAAGAAUGGCUUGCAAAUGAGGGGACAGGCUGGCGGAGAGCUGAAAAGCCCGAAGGCCUCCCCAGAGAAGGAGCAGACGAUGGUGCUCUGAGGAGAACACCUCAUGGACGUCUGUUGGCUGGAAGUGGCAAAGCACUCCGCCAUGCUGGAGGUUUGGAGAGGAGGUGGAAAGUACUGCUGACCUAGCUGGAAAACCCCAGGGUUAAUGAAUCAGAGAACGUGCAUCGUGAGAUUAUAGUUAUACUGCACUUAAAACAAGUAGAAAUGUUUGAUUUAGGGAACCUUAUUGAACCUCCUCGGUUUUAGAUUUUUUUUUUAAGAAAGACAAGAGUGUGAUUUAUUAUUUGGUGGCGGAGUUGAAUUGAGUUUCAUUUUGUGUCUAGUGAUGAAAAUUUAAAGUAUGACUAAAGAGACGUUGUGUCUUUUGAUAAGCUGAAGUUGCAGCAGUAAUUUUAUAUGCUGGUACAUCUGGCCCAUUUUAGCAACUUUCCACUUUCUGUUUCUGUUUUUCCAUUGAACUUAUCUUCUGUUUUUUUUUUUUUUGCAGAAUUAUAAAAAUGUCUGUCUAAAAGGCAUUGUGAUUAAAACUGAAAACGGUGUUGAUUCUACGUGAGGAAGAACGCACAAUUCAAACCCUGCCCUGAUUGCAGAUAUGUUAGCUUGAUAUCAUCCCCUUGUUACAGGACAGGACAUACAGACUGACAGUAUGACCUAAAUGCCUCUUUUGUUGAUGAUUAAUGCAUGGAUGUAGUGCAAUAAAGCGA